CUGGGUGCAUAAAAUUUCUAAGUACAGUAUUCCUGGUAUAAAAUCCUGCCAGUAAAAUUCCUGCUUGAAAAAAAUUCUAAAAUUGGUUUUCCUUCUAGCAGAAAUGUCUAAGAUUGGUAUUCCUGCUAGCAGAAAGUUUUCCUGCUAGAAGAAAUUUUCUAAGUCCAUCUUUCCUGUUACAAAAAAAAAUCUAAGUUGAGAUUCCUACCAGGAUUAUAAAAUUCCGUGCUACACCAUCAAAUUCCUACUAAGUAGCAGGAAUAUUUUGACAGGAAAAUUGAAUAUUCCUGGUAGAAAAAUCUUCAUAUUCCUAGUACGCCUAAGAUGUAGCAGGAAAACGAAUAUUCCUACAGGAUUC
rnacentral:lncRNA from 1 species